UACGAAGGGUGCAAGCGUUACUCGGAAUUACUGGGCGUAAAGCGUGCGCAGGCGGCUUCUCAAGUCAGGGGUGAAAGCCCAGAGCUCAACUCUGGAAUUGCCUUUGAGACUGAGUGGCUUGAGUACGAGAGAGGUGAGUGGAAUUCCCAGUGUAGAGGUGAAAUUCGUAGAUAUUGGGAAGAACACCGGUGGCGAAGGCGGCUCACUGGCUCGUAACUGACGCUCAUGCGCGACAGCGUGGGGAUCAAACAGG
rnacentral:rRNA from 1 species